rnacentral:rRNA from 1 species
AAACCAGCACCUCGAGUGGUCAGGAUGAUUAUUGGGCCUAAAGCAUCCGUAGCCUGCUUUGUUAGUUUUCGGUUAAAUCCAUAUGCUCAACAUAUGGGCUGCCAGGAAUACUGCAUAGCUAGGGAGUGGGAGAGGUAGACGGUACUCCGUAGGAAGGGGUAAAAUCCUUUGAUCUAUGGAUGACCACCUGUGGCGAAGGCGGUCUACCAGAACACGUCCGACGGUGAGGGAUGAAAGCUGGGGGAGCAAACCGGAUUAGAAACCCGAGUAGUCC